GUGAGACUCCAUUUCAAAGGAAAAAGAAGCAGCUUCUCAUUCAUUCAAGUUUUAUCAUGAGAUCGUAGCAAUUCAGUCACGUUUUCAGGCUCUGCUUCUGAUUCUCGCUCUUUUGCUAUUUUUACCUCAUCUGUAAUAAUUUCCUCCACUAAAGUCUUGAGCCCCAUAAAGUCAUCCUUGAGGCUUAAAAUCAAUCUCUUUCAAACUCCUCUUAAUGCUGAAAUUUUGGCCUCCUCCCUUGCAUCGUGAAUGUUCUUAAUUGGAUCUAUAAUGAUGAAUUCUUUCAUGAAGUUUUUCAACUUACUUUGCCAAGAUUCAUCAGAGGAAUCACUGUAUGCCAGCAAUAGCCUUACAAAAUGUAUUUCUUAAAUAAUAAGACUUGAAAGUCAAAAUUAUUCCUUGAUCCAUGGGCUGCAGAAUGGAUAUUGUGUUAAUAGGCAUGCAAAUAACAUUCAUCUUCUUGUACAUAUCCAGCAGAGCUUCUUGGUGACUCAGGGUAUUGUCAAUGAGCAGAAAUAUUUUUAAAUGAAUCUCUUUUUGUGAAGUAGGUCUCAACAGUGGGCUUAAAAUAGUUAGUAAACCAUGCUGUAAACAGAUGUGCGGUCAUCUAGGCUUUAUUGUUCCAUUUAUAGACAAAGAUAGAGCUGAUUUAGCAUAAUUUCUUAGGGCCCUAGCAUUAUCAGAAUGGUAAAUAAGCAUUGGCUUCAGCUUAAUGUCACCAUUAAUUUUAAGAUGUACUAACCCUCAAUAGGAGAGCCAGGCUGUCCUUUAAACCAUCAAAGCCAAGCAUUGACUUCUUCCAUCUCACAAUGAAAGUCUUAGAUGGUAUCUUCCUCCAAUAGAAGGCUGUUUUGUCUACACUAAAAAUCUGUGUUUUAGUAUAGCCACUUUCAUCAAUUAUCUUAGCUAGAUCUUCUGGAUGACUUGCUGCCACUUCUAUAUCCACCUUUCUGCUUCACUUUGCAUUAUUAUGUUAUGAAGAUGGCUUCAUUCCUUAAAUCUCAUGAGCCAACCUCUGCUAGCUUUCAAAUUUUCUUCUGCAGCUUCCUCACCUCUCUCAGCCUUCAUGAAAUUGAAGAGAGUUAGAGCCUUGUUCUGGAUUGGGUUUGUCUUAAAUGAAUUUUGAGGCUGGUCUGGUCUCUCCAGACCACUACAGCUUUCUCUAUAUAAGCAAUAAGGCUGUUUUGAUUUCUUGUCAUUUGUGUGCUGACUAGAGCAGAAUUUCUGUUUCCUUCAAGAACAUUUUCUUGGCACCCAUAACUUGGCUAUUUGGUGCAAGAGGCCUAGCUUUUGGCCUGUCUCUGCUUUUCACAUGCCUUUCUCACUAAAUAUAAUAAUUUCUAGCUUUUGAUUGAAAGUGGGAGACAGGUGACCCUUCCUUUUACUUGAACCCCUAGAAGCCAUUGUAUGGUUAAUACAUGGCCUAAUUUCAAUAUUGUGUCUCAGAGAAUAGGGAUGCCCGAGUACAGGGAGAGAGAUGGGAGAAUAGCCAGUCAGUGGUGUAGUCAGAAAACAUGCCGCGUUUACUAAGUUCACCAUCUUAUAUGGGUGUGAUUAGUGGUGCUCCAAAACAAUUACAGUACAAACGUCAGAGAUUAGUGAGCACAGAUCACCAAGUAGAUAAUGAUAAUGAAAAAGUAUGAAAUAUCACAAGAAUUUACCUAAAUGUGACAGACACAGAGACAUGAAAUGAGUACAUGCUGUUGGAAAAAUGAUCCCAAUAGACUUGCUUAGUGCAGCCUUGCCCCAAAUCCUCAGUUUGUUAAAUAAAAGCAAUAUUUGUGGAACACAGUAAAGCAGAGUGCCAUAAACAAGGUGCCUAUAGUUUUAUUCCUUCUAGAACUCAGAAUAGUGCUUUUCAAAAAGUAGGGACAUGAUUAACAUAUUUUCUGACCAUGCUUUAUUACUCUGUGUGUGUAUGUGUGUGUGUGUGUCUGUAGCAUGUUUAAAAUGUUAUGUAGAAGUUGACAAAAUUGCUUGAUUUUCAUUUGGAAGUGCAAGUAAAGAAAAUUGAACUGUAAGAUGUGGUCAAUUAAAAGUACUAUAAAAAGUUGAUAAUGUUAAUCAAGUACCUCAGGAAACCAAACUGGGGUAUCAGAAACAUUGUAUGGUAUUGAGAGAUAACAUACAUAAAGAUAUAACAUACAUUAAAAGAAAGUUAG